CAGCCGCCGCGGUAAUACGAAGGGGGCUAGCGUUGUUCGGAUUUACUGGGCGUAAAGCGCACGUAGGCGGACUUUUAAGUCAGGGGUGAAAUCACGGGGCUCAACCCCGGAACUGCCUUUGAUACUGGAAGUCUUGAGUAUGGUAGAAGUGAGUGGAAUUCCGAGUGUAGAGGUGAAAUUCGUAGAUAUUCGGAGGAACACCAGUGGCGAAGGCGGCUCACUGGACCAUUACUGACGCUGAGGUGCGAAAGCGUGGGGAGCAAACAGGAUUAGAUACCCGUGUAGUCCCUGUCUCUUAUAC
rnacentral:rRNA from 1 species